GCCGGGGUCGCUUAGCCCGGUAUGGCGGUAGCCUUGAAAGCUACUGGUGCUUCACCUCGUGAGUUCAAAUCUCACCCCCGGCG
rnacentral:tRNA from 1 species